CCUGUAGCGCAGUUGGUUAGCGUGCCGCCCUGUCACGGCGGAGGUCGCGGGUUCAAGUCCCGUCAGGGUCGCUCCA
rnacentral:tRNA from 3 species